AGAUAUAUUCUUGAAACUUAAAAAAUUUGGCGGUAUUUUAAUCUAAUUAGAGGAACCUGUUCUAUAAUCGAUAAUCCACGUUAAAUUUUACUAAAUUAUUUGUAUAUCGUUGUCAAAAGAAUAAAUUUUCAAAAAUUUUAAUAAAAAUUAAUGUCAAAUCAAGGUGCAGUUUAUAAUUUAGAAGAAAUGGGUUACAAUAAAUUUAUUUAGGAUUUUAAUGAAAGUGGAUUUAAUAGUAAAUUAAU
rnacentral:rRNA from 1 species